rnacentral:tRNA from 2 species
CCCUGGUUGGCUCAGUUGGUGGAGUGCUCCACUCGAAAGGUAGAGGUCCCGGGUUCGACACCCGGACCAGAAG